GACGAACGCUGGCGGCGUGCUUAACACAUGCAAGUCGAACGCAGUGGCGAACUGGUGAGUAACGCGUAAUCAACCUGCCCUUCAGAGGGGGACAACAGUUGGCAACGACUGCUAAUACCGCAUACUGAGGGAGGGGAUUGCGUCUGAUUAGCUAGUUGGAGGGGUAACGGCCCACCAAGGCGAUGAUCCGUAGCCGGUCUGAGAGGAUGAACGGCCACAUUGGGACGGAGACACGGCCCAGAAUCCUACGGGAAGCAACAGGGGGGAAUCUUCCGGAAUGGACGAAAGGCUUACGGAGCAACGCCGCGUGAGUGAUGACGGCCUUCGGGUUGUAAAGCUCUGUUAAUCGGGACGCGGUACCGGAAUAGAAAGCCACGGCUAACUACGUGCCAGCAGCCGCGGUAAUAC
rnacentral:rRNA from 1 species